GACCGCGUAGCUCAGUUGGAAGAGCAUUGGACUAGUAUUCCAAAGGUCGUAGGUUCGAAUCCCACCGUGGCCG
rnacentral:tRNA from 1 species